AGGAUGAAUGUUAUCCCUCGGUCCAACCCACUUUCAGCCUGGCGCAUUAGGGGGCGCUAGUAUAAAUAGUGGCCAUUUGAGUGUCCCUGGAUCGCUUACCUGUGAUCUCCUUUUUUGGUCACCUGACUUCCCUUUGGUGUUGCUGAGAUUAUUUGCGGGUUACACUUCUGAAGCCUCCAUCGCGGCUGGUCGUAGCUGUAGAAGCCUCCUCUGAGCCAUUCUGCUCAUGCUUUAUGACGCGGCUUACUCGGAAGUGUGGGCCUUAGUUUUACGCCACGCUACGCGAACCGAGGUGCUGCUGUUUUGCUUUGCUUUGCUGUGCUUUUACCGUCUGUUCCCGUUGCGAGAUUUCUUUUCCUGCUGCUGCCAGCUUUUACAGUGGACGUCGGCGUGGACAGCAUCCAUAUGCCCGCCGGUUAUGGGAGUCAGCUGGCGUGCAUAUUGAUUGACUGUUAACUUGUAGUUGUGCAGACGGCAAGUUGGAGCAAUACGGCGAUUCCGUUUGCUCCAGAUUUUAGAGUUUUAUCCAGAUUGUAUGUUGUUUUACUGUUUUUGAUUUGUAGUUUGGAUUUUUGUUACGCCACUGGUGGGAGGCCCUUUUUCUAGCUGUAGAUCACCAGUGUGGUCCUGCA